UUUUAUAUAUAUAAUCGGAUGCUACAAAAAUUGAUUAAAAACUAAAAAAAUCAAUCUAUAGAUGCAGUUGGAGUCAACUGAAUGAGAUUCUAUGAAAAAGAUGUUAUACAAUAUUUCACAUUUAGUUUACGUUAUGUUGUUGACUGUUUGUGUUCUCGCAUGUUCUGCAUAUCCUUGUGAUGAUUGAUGAAACGUGGAAUCAAAUAUAUCAAAAGGAUUUGUCCAUUCAUAUUCGUCGGAAUUGUCAUGUAUGAUGGGCUGGUUUCUGUUCAAAAAUAUUGAAUUCAUGUGCAUUUAAUUGUGUAAGGUAACCAAUAAAUGUUCAAUUAAAGAAA